UGGGGAAUAUUGGGCAAUGGGCGCAAGCCUGACCCAGCAACGCCGCGUGAAGGAAGAAGGCUUUCGGGUUGUAAACUUCUUUUAUCAGGGACGAUAAUGACGGUACCUGAUGAAUAAGCUCCGGCUAACUACGUGCCAGCAGCCGCGGUAAUACGUAGGGAGCAAGCGUUAUCCGGAUUUACUGGGUGUAAAGGGCGUGUAGGCGGGACUGCAAGUCAGAUGUGAAAACUAUGGGCUUAACCCAUAGCCUGCAUUUGAAACUGUAGUUCUUGAGUGGUCGGAGAGGU
rnacentral:rRNA from 1 species